rnacentral:pre_miRNA from 1 species
AAUAAGUGUAGUUUUACACUAUUCACGUUUAACGUUUGACCGUUCGUUUUAUUUGAAAAUAUUUUAUGAUUAGUAUUUUUAUUACUAUUAGAUGAUAAAACAUGAAUAGUACUUUAUAUGUGACUAAAUAUUUUUAAAUUUUUCAUAAAUUUUUUAAAUAAGACGGACGGUCAAACGUUGAACACGGAUAUCUAUGACUGCACUUAUU